rnacentral:tRNA from 1 species
AGGCGAUUAGUUUAAGAAAAACAUUUGAUUUCGGCUCAAAAGCUCGUGGUUAAAGUCCACCUUCGCCUA